rnacentral:rRNA from 1 species
CGGACGGGACCGCAGAGUCUGCCCCCGGUAUUCAGCUCGUCCUCUUCGUCGGCCGCGUCCGUCGCCAAACGACACCCUCUGAGCGGGUGCCAUGGCGGGCGUGAGCGCGGCGGGGGACGCGUGCACUUUCCGGGGUGCGGUGCGUCACGACCGGUUCGGCGGAGGUCAGAAGGCCGGCGGGAUGGUGGCCAGUCGUUCGCGUCUGGUGGUAUAGCCCGCCUGUGUCGCAGGCCCUCUGCCGGACCGAGGAGGAUCCGCGUCUGCCUUAGGGCGCGGGGCCACGGGGCCUCCCGUGCUGCCUCCGUGCCGGGACUGCUCUCGCAGUGCCGUGCGCGGUCGGCGGUCGGGACGGACUCCGCUCCCCCCGUAACGGCGUCUAGGGUCGGUGGCGAUAUUGUCGGCAACCCGUCCGACCCGUCU